GUCCUUUUGUUUAUUUAUUUAAGGUCUGACCUGCCCAAUGAGGAAUUCAAUGGCCGCAGUAUUUUAACUGUGCUAAGGUAGCAUAAUCAUUUGUCUUUUAAUUGAGGGCUGGAAUGAAAGGUUGGACGAGAUAUUAACUUUCUUUAGUUUAAUUUUAAGAAUUUAAUUUUUGAGUUAAAAAGCUUAAAUUUAUUUGUUGGACGAGAAGACCCUAUAGAUCUUUAUAAUUUUAUAUUUUGAUAAUUUGGUGAUUUUAUUUAUUGUAAGUAGAAGAAUUAUUUUGUUGGGGUGACUGUAGAAUUUUAUUAACUUCUAUUAUUUUUAUUUCAUUGAUUGAUGUUUUUUUGAUCCAUAUAUUUAUGAUUAAAAGAUUAAG
rnacentral:rRNA from 1 species